UUUAAUAUGGCAGAUAAGUGCAAUGGUCUUAAAUUCCAUAAAUAAAGUUUUUUAUUCUUUUAUUAAAA
rnacentral:tRNA from 1 species